rnacentral:rRNA from 1 species
UCACCAGAUAAGACAGCUGAAUGAUAGUCGGGCUGAAGACUCUACUUGACUAGCUGAGAGGAGGUGCAUGGCCGUCGUCAGUUCGUACUGUGAAGCAUCCUGUUAAGUCAGGCAACGAGCGAGACCCACGCCAACAGUUGCCAGCUCGUCCUCCGGGAUGGUGGGGGACACUGUUGGGACCGCUCUGCUAAAGAGGAGGAAGGAAUGGGCAACGGUAGGUCAGCAUGCCCCGAAUUAUCUGGGCUACACGCGGGCUACAAUGGGUGGGACAAUGGGUAUCGACACCGAAAGGUGAAGGCAAUCUCCUAAACCCAUCCGUAGUUCGGAUUGUGGGCUGCAACUCGCCCACAUGAAGCUGGAAUCUGUAGUAAUCGUGUCUCAAAAUGGCACGGUGAAUAUGUCCCUGCUCCUU